rnacentral:rRNA from 1 species
CACACCGCCCGUCACACCAUGGGAGUCGUUUGCUCCAGAAGUGCCUGCACUAACUCGCAAGAGAAGUAGGGCCCCAAGGAGUGAACGGUAACUGGGGUG